rnacentral:lncRNA from 1 species
AUUCUAUUGACUCUUGGGAGAUUGAUCUUCAGGAAGCUCUUAUCACAAAACAGCUCUUCCUGGAGUGAGGAGAGAGCAUGGUACCUGGGAAGACAAAGGGAGUGGACUGGGACAUGGGAAUCUGGUUUCCAUUUUAGUUCUACAACUAGCAGCCUGGUGGCUUUAGGAGGAGCCUGCCAUUUCCCUGGCCUCAAUGGUUUCAUCUGUAAAUUGGAACGGCCUGGAGAUGAUAAAAGUGAAAGCAUCCAUUACCAUGCCUGGAAGUGCUCAAGAAAUGAUUCUUUCCUGCCUGCUGACUUCCAUUUUCCAUCUGUAAGAGCAAAGAGGAGAAGAGGCACAGGAAUUCCCAGCAAAUGGACAAGAGAAGCUAUUCACAUCUUCCAAACUCUGAGACAAGACAUCCCGGGACAAAUCACUGUGAGGACUGCAGCCAGUUAUGGCAGAAGGUCCCGCAUCACUGAAUCCAGAGCUGGAGGAGUCCAGGAGACACCAGCAGUCAUUUUGCCGGAGAUAUUGAUCAGCCAG